AUUGAACGCUGGCGGCAGGCCUAACACAUGCAAGUCGAGCGCGAGGCGGAGGGGUGUGAAAUGUAUGGGGACUGCCCGAUAGAGGGGGGGAACACUUGGAAACAGUGGCGAAUAAACCACACUAUCGGAUAAUCCAUAUGGGAUUAGCUCGUGGGUGGGGUAAUGGCUCACCUAGGCGACGAUCCCUAGCUGGGCUGAGAGUAUGACCAGCCACACUGGGACGGAGACACGGCCCAGACUCCUACGGAGGCAGCAGUGGGGAAUAUUGCACAAUGGGCGCAAGCCUGAUGCAGCCAUGCCGCGUGUAUGAAGAAGGCCUUAGGGUUGUAAAGUACUUUCAGUCGGGAGGCGUUACCGACAGAAGAAGCACCGGCUAACUCCGUGCCAGCAGCCGCGGUAAUUC
rnacentral:rRNA from 1 species